GCCGUCGGUAGAGGCAGGGCGGAGAUCGACACCUCGGCGCCGUUCGAUUCGGUGCGGGAGGCCGUCGACCGCUUCGGUGGCAGCGCCGCAUCUUCUCCUCCCCUCGUCCGCCGCAUCUUCGCGACCACAAGAAACAGGACCAGCGUGUGGUGGGGACUGAAGAGGACGAGCAAUGCAUCAGCCUGGAGGAGCAGACCGCGCAGCUAGAGAAGGAGCUCAGGGUCAAAGAAAGGGAGACGCUCGAUGUGCUCUAGGAACUGGAGUCGGCCAAGAGGGUUAUCGCGGAUUAGAAGCUCAAGAUACACAAGAAAACAAUUGAGAUCAUGUAGAACCUGACGAGAAGCAGUAGCCUGAGGAUAACAACUGCUCUAUCGCUGAAUUGCCCACGACAGAACCUGAAGAGGAGAAGCUGUCUGCGGGAAAUGCUGAAGCUGAUGUGGAGAUGUGUGGCGGUCUCGACGAACACUCACAGCAGCAGCACCCUGACUCGGUUCUCAUGGAGCUCGAGCGGGCAAAGUCAAACCUGAACAGAACCACAAUUACUGGACUAGUAACCACAAAAGCUGAUGUCUUCAGCUGUGGUGUCAUUUUGAUGGAGCUGGUCACCGGACGGAGGGCGCUUGAUGACACGUAGCCUGAGGAUAGCAUGCACCUAGUUACAUGGUUCCGGAGAAUGACCUUGACGGGAGACCUUUGCCAGCGUUAGCACCGUCGCACAGCUGGCCGGUCACGGUGGGACAAAAAUCGCUGUCAAGCGAAUGGAGUCUGGUGUUAUGGGCAACAAGGGGCUGAAUGAGUUCAAAUCAGAGAUAUCUGUGCCGACCAAGCUCCGUCAUCGGAAUCUGGUGUCACUGCUUGGAUAUUUCCUUGAUGGUAAUGAGAGGAUUCUUGUAUAUGAGUACAUGCCACAUGGGCCAGUCAAACAUCUGUUUGAGUGGAAAGAACACAAUUCACAGCCCUUGGAAUGGAAGAAACGACUGAGCACUGCCCUUGAUGUUGCGAGAGGUGUUGAGUACCUGCACAGCCUUGCACCGUCAAUCAGUGGAAGUGUGUAUCAGUGGAGACAAGACUUGCUGG